UAACGUGGGGAGGAGCUUGCUCCGCCCCGACGACGAGUGGCGAACGGGUGAGUAAUACAUCGGAACGUGUCCGCUCGUGGGGGACAACCAGCCGAAAGGUUGGCUAAUACCGCAUGAGUUCUACGGAAGAAAGAGGGGGACCCGCAAGGGCCUCUCGCGAGCGGAGCGGCCGAUGACUGAUUAGCCAGUUGGUGAGGUAACGGCUCACCAAAGCAACGAUCAGUAGCUGGUCUGAGAGGACGACCAGCCACACUGGGACUGAGACACGGCCCAGACUCCUACGGGAGGCAGCAGUGGGGAAUUUUGGACAAUGGGCGCAAGCCUGAUCCAGCUAUUCCGCGUGUGGGAUGAAGGCCCUCGGGUUGUAAACCACUUUUGUAGAGAACGAAAAGACAUCUUCGAAUAAAGGAUGUUGCUGACGGUACUCUAAGAAUAAGCACCGGCUAACUACGUGCCAGCAGCCGCGGUAAUACGUAGGGUGCGAGCGUUAAUCGGAAUUACUGGGCGUAAAGGGUGCGCAGGCGGUUGAGUAAGACAGAUGUGAAAUCCCCGAGCUUAACUCGGGAAUGGCAUAUGUGACUGCUCGACUAGAGUGUGUCAGAGGGAGGUGGAAUUCCACGUGUAGCAGUGAAAUGCGUAGAUAUGUGGAAGAAC
rnacentral:rRNA from 1 species